UACAGAGGGUGCGAGCGUUAAUCGGAAUUACUGGGCGUAAAGCGCGCGUAGGCGGCUUUGCAAGUCGGGUGUGAAAUCCCCCAGGCCUAACCUGGGAACUGCACUCGAGACUGCAUGGCUAGAGUAUCGGAGAGGGAAGUGGAAUUUCAGGUGUAGCGGUGAAAUGCGUAGAUAUCUGAAGGAACAUCAGUGGCGAAAGCGACUUCCUGGACGAAUACUGACGCUCAUGUGCGAAAGCGUGGGGAGCAAACAGG
rnacentral:rRNA from 1 species